UGGUACCGUUUCUGGACUUUCUGGA
rnacentral:piRNA from 1 species